AUAAAACAAAACAAACACUGAAGUCCUUUUCCCUCUCACACAGCACAAAUCAAAGAAACCCCCCCACCCACUCGUUUCUUCUCCGGUGAGACCACCGGCGGAACCGUUGCCGGUAUACCGCCCAGCCGCACCCCCUUCUUCUCCGACGCGACACCGCUACCCCCUUCAUCUUCUCCGGUCAGAUUUACGGCAGACACCAUCAACCGCCCCCCUGUUCUUGACUAAUUGAACCACCGACUACCACCCCUCUAGUGGUGGCACGCAGCGACGCGAGAGAGAGAGGAGACGAGAGAGAGAAGCAGGUUAGAGAUGGAAGUUUAACGGCUGCAACAGUGGUGGCACUCGAUAGAACCGUCGGCGACGGCGCCGCCGUGACGGCAGCGGUGGUGUUUCGACUCCGACGAGGCAACUGGUAAACCCUUCACCUUCCUACAUUUCGGUUCCUUUCUUUCGAUCUAAUGUAGGUUAAUACUGACAAUGUUCCGUUUGUUCGGGUCGAGUCUGGUUCGUGUUUCGACUCAGUUUGGUUUGGAUCUUGGCUCAGCUUAGCUCCGAUUCAGUUUUGGUUCUCGGUUUGUUUCGACUCACGCAGUUCGGUUCAGAUUCGGAUCGAUUUGGUUCAGAUCCGGUUCAGUCGAGUUCAAUCGGUUCGGUUUGAUGCCCGGGUCAAACCUGGUCAAACUUGGUCAACUGAGGUCUCGAUGCACUUGGUAGUUCAACGACGGUGACCUCGGUGUUCCACCCUCCAAAUCUUUUACGCUCGUCAACACUUGGAUAAUCGGAAGACUUAGCAAUUAUGUUGACAGUCAAGAUGUUGAAGAAUCAAGUUAGGAUGGCUAGAUACCCA